rnacentral:lncRNA from 1 species
UUGCGCUUAACUGCUCGUAUCAGGCCGUCCUGAAGAAAAGGACCUUCAAAGCCCACGGAGCUAAUUUUCAGUGCGGCUAAAUUUUUUUUUUAUCAAAUUGGGUAAAUGACCUCUUUCUGAACAUGCAGGAAGUGAAUUAUGUGAUAUCUGUAAGUGCUUUUGUUACAGUUUGAAAUUGCAUCCGGGGUUAUAGGCGAUGUGCAUAAAAAGUUAUCAAGGUGGAGAAAUGGUGCUGGGUCCACACCAUUUCGCGGGGGAUUCAAAGCCAAGAAGUUCCAAAAAUUAAAAUUAGAGUCAAAAUUCCAUAGUUAAAAUAGUUUUCAUAGUUAAUAUAGUUAAAUUCUAUUUUCGGGCCACUUCUUGGUGUUUUUUCCCUUCAUUAAAAAGUUAUCUGAUCGCACCACUCACCGAACUUAAUGUGGCGGUCGAUAAGCAGCCAUUUCCGUGUCAGUACCAAACUUUGCAUUUCGUUAGGUGGCUCACCAAGCAUAUAGACGAUCGAAGAUCGUCACUCAAUGUUUUAGUGUUAGCGUAGGAUACUUUUUCGAUGAAAAUGGAGCUCGGAACUAGAUUCUUUCCUCUCAUAUUAUCAAUUUUUCACAUCGGUUCGUGCGACUUAGAAUCCGAUGCGGCGCGGACCCUCUUCGUGGACCGCACCCGGUGGGUCAAGAUCUUCUACGACUUCCACAACCACCCUGCUCAGCCCCUCUUCGUCUCGGCUCCGAGCGGUGCCGGCAAGACGGCCCUCGUCGACGUCAUGGAUCGCUACUUCCGCGUGGAGGUCGACGGGAACCACCGUCCGCGGGCACAGAAAGAGACGUCUGCAUACCGCCUCUUCACCGGCGUCUACGGCCCCCGCGGACGCCACUUCGUCGUCAUGAACGAGAGCUACUUCUUCGACGAGCACAUCGCCGCGUACCCCGUCGUCAGACUGGACUUCUCCACCCUCGACGCUACCACCCUUGACACCUUCUUGCGGAGUGCCGUCUCCAUGGUUCAGGGGGCCGUUUCUGCCUAUCCUUACGUGUCGUCGUGCCUCCAGAACCUAGGAACAACACCCGGAGACUCCAAUCUCGCUGGCCGGAACCUGACGCGCGACCUACACGACUACUUCAAGAAAAAGUGCGUGGUUCUGAUCGAUUCCUUCGACCACCCGGCCACCACCCUGUUACACAAUGCCACCCCCGACGCGUUCAAGAUCCGGUCCUGGCUCGCGGGGUUCUUGGACCAUUUGCUCCGCAAGAACAAGCACCUGGAGGCAGGCUUCCUCACGGGACGAUCCCGUCUCGGCGAGGUCUACGCUUCUAAUAACACCGUCUACAAAAGCUUCGUCAAUAGCGACUUGAUCGGUUUCUCAUUCGGCCUGUCGCCCGACCAUGUAAAAGAUCUUUUAAAGGGCUACAAUAGCAGCCUAACCAUCGACCAGCUCGCUCGCGAAUUCUGCGGGUAUAGCAUCAACGCCACCGACCUCAGAGCCUAUCCUACGGGAUCCGUGAUCAGGAGUAUAGAAUCCGGGAAAAUCCUGGAGACCUGGAAGCCUGGUGUCUCCACCGAUCGGUUCGUCCAGGCGUUCAGGUUGGACGCAGCUGGUGGUCACAUACUAACCGCCCUUCGGGGAGGAGCUGUCGUGCUUAAAUUGGCCAAACGCGUGCAGUUCGAAGACUUAGAGGAGCUGCGAGAGUACUUGGACGGUGUUAACGACAAGAGAUUUAAAUACCGACAGAGGUCGACCCCUCUUUUCUUGCAGUACCUCUACGAGCUCGGGUACUUUACCAACAUCUUCGAGGAGCUGGGAGGCUAUGGGAAUCUGCGUGUGCCUAAUUUGGAAAUUGCACAUAACUUGAAAUCUAUCCUCAUGAAGGCUUUGGCAGGGGAGUUUAUUUUCAAUAAGGCACGUCUUGCGAAACUGAAAGACUCCGUCGGGAACCUUGAUGGGUCUAGGAAGUCGUGCGAGGGGUUUCUGGAUGCUGCUCUGGCGGUGGUCAUGCCGUAUUUGAGCGACUGCAGAUUGCGGGAGAACAUCUUGGUUAUCCUCUUCUACGCAGUUCAGUCUGUUGUUCCAGAUGUGCUGGAAGAGGUUCUGGUCCCCGGUGGGGUCGGUUUUGAUGAAAUGGGGCAAGAAGUAGGGUACUUUUUGGGGUUCGCGGACACACUUGCGAUUCCGGUCAAACGGGUUGGGUCAUUAUUAAUCAUAAGGUUUGCGGAACAGCUUUCGAAGCUCUGAAGGAAGUGUUCAAGAUGGAGUAUGAUAAACUUAUUUCGAAUUCCUCAAGGCAGGUUUUUAUUGGGUUGAGUUUUGAUACUAUAAGCAAGAAAAUGUCAGCUAGUUGUUUGAAAGAUAGCACAACACUUACGCUUGCGUUUAACAUGACUGUUGGAGGCGAGUCUAAAUUGCGAGGUACAGAGAAGCAGGGCGACUAAUUGGCGAUACAAAGGAUCUCCCUUAGUUUGAGUGUUGAAACCACUGAAACUAUCAGGUAAUUAUUCGUGGAAAAUUACAAACCAUACAAUCAUCAAUUACAUCUCAUUUUACUGUUGAAGGACGAUUUGAAUCCAGAGAG